CCUGAACGCUGGCGGCGUGGCUAAGACAUGCAAGUCGCACGGGCCCGCAAGGGUCAGUGGCGAACGGGAGAGUAAUGAAUCGCUAACGUACCCCGGACUCCGGGAUAGCCGUCCGAAAGGGCGGGUAAUACCGGAUGACAUAUUCCCUUGGCAUCUUGGGAAUCUCAAAGGUCCACUAGCAAUAGUGGAUGGUUUGGGAGCGGGCGAUUUCGUAUCAGCUAGUUGGUGGGGUAACGGCCCACCAAGGCGACGACGCGUAGCCGGACUGAGAGGUUGGCCGGCCUCAUUGGGACUGAGACACUGCCCAGACUCCUACGGGGGGCUGCAGUAACGAAUCUUCCGCAAUGCACGAAAGUGUGACGGAGCGACGCCGCGUGUGGGACGAAGCCCUUCGGGGUGUAAACCACUGUCAGGGGUUACCAAGAACUGAGGAGCCCCAGAGGAAGGCACGGCUAACUCUGUGCCGGCAGCCGCGGUAAGACAGAGGUGCCAAGCGUUAGGCGGAAUCACUGGGCUUAAAGCGUGUGUAGGCGGACGUUUAAGUACCUUGUGAAAUCCCACGGCUCAACCGUGGAACUGCUGGGUAUACUGGGCGUCUUGAGCCACUUAGGGGUCGUCGGAACAAACGGUGGAGCGGUGAAAUGCGUAGAUAUCGUUUGGAACGCCAAUGGUGAAAACAGACGACUGGGAGUGUGCUGACGCUGANGCACGAAAGCCAGGGGAGCGAACGGGAUUAGAUACCCCGGUAGUCCUGGCCCUAAACGAUGUC
rnacentral:rRNA from 1 species